AGUAAGUAAAUAUACAAUAUAAAAAAAAUUAUACAUCUAUCUCAAAAAUGUAUAGUUAAAUAGAAAAUGUAUAGUUAAAUAAAUAAUAAGCAAAUAUACAAUAUAAGACAUAGAAAUAUUACAUUAAAUAUCUAUUGUAAUUUUACCAUUUGAUAUAAAAGCAAAAAAAAUAGAAUAAAUAAAUAUACAAUACAGAGAAAUUCUUUAAGUUGGUCAGUUUAAGUUUUUGUCACAAAAUAGCCUUAAUAAGAAAAAUGACCAAAAGAAGUUUUAUUAAAGAGUAAAAAUACUUUUAUACCGUAGGGUUAACUAAUCUAGAUCUAGGGUUUAGAGUUAAGGGUGGGGUUUUGAGGAUAGGAUUUCAAAUUAAAAAGAAAAUUAAAAUUAAAAUUUUCAAAAUAAAAAGUGGCUAUUUUGGUCAUUUUACUUAUUCAAUGUUAUUUUUGUGACAAAAACUUAAAAAAAAGUUUGAGAGAGAUGUCCUACAAUAUAAUAAAAACUAAAUAAUAAGUAAAUAUACGAUAUAAAAAAUGAAAAACUAUAUUAAAUAUCUAUCUGAAAAAUGUAUAGUUUUCAGUUUUUUCCUAAGGAAAUAUAUAUUCACACAAACAUACGAUUCAGAAUUUUGUUGUUCUUCGUAAUACAAUGUAAAAAAAAACUAUAUAGUUAACAUUUGAAAAUCAAAAUAGUAACUCUAGUCUAUCUAUAUAAUAAUAGUAAGUUUAGGUACCUCACCACGUGUGGAUCCGACAAGAAAAAAAAAAUUUUGGUUUCUUUAAUAAGCUUGGGUAAUACUCCCUCUGUUCUCAAAAGAAUGAUUUUCUAAAAUAUUGACUCAUAUCAAGAAUGUAAUAAAUGUUUACCAUUAAAGUGUUCUCAAUAUCUCCCGCUGAUUCGAAGAAGACGGCUCCGAUCUUCCGCCGCUCGCUUUCUUCGACCCAGAUUCUGCAUCCACCGUCCGGUCCACAUCAACUUCAGCUUCGGCGUCCAUUUUCCCAAUAGUUAAUUCCGGUGGCGUCACCAAACACCGUCUUCGAUUCGUCUCCGAAGCAGGCGAAUUUCGGGAACCAGAGAAAGAGAGGGAGAGAGACAGAGCACGAGAGGAAGAACUUGGUGAUCGGUUUUUUUUCCCUUCUCAUCUGAGCACGACCCAAUACACACUUACCACGUGUCCUCUAAGGCACGUAUCUUCUGAUCCUAAAUUAAGAGACGUUUGUUGUUUUAAUUGGCAUUUUUCUUUUUCUUUUAAUCAUUAUUUGUCUUAAGAACCAACUAAGAUACAGGGAUAAUGAUGCUCAGAAGGUGAACAGACCAUCAUUACAUCUCCUUCUCCCAACAAACGUAUUCCAACCACAAUUUCGUCUUCAAUUCCAUAUUAAUUCCUUCAAGACUUCUCUUCUUUACAUCCGCCCCGUUCAGAUGAAUCUGAAUCCAGCCACAACGCACUCCUAUAAAUUUACGGCCACACACGACCUUCGCUACAAUCACUGCAAAAAAAGUCUUCGGUAAAUUAUCACCUCUUUGCUUUCGUCUUCUGUCAUGGCUGCUUUCGAUUUCGUCGCAAUUCCUGUCUCGGCUCCAUAUGUCACCUUCAGGAAUAUUUCUAUCUCAGAUGGAUUUAAUUUCUCGGCUCCAUAUGUCUUCUUACAACUUACUUGCUAACUUGGUAAAUAAUCACCAUGUACGUACUUCAUUUUCAUUUUCUUCUUUGUUUGGCAUCUAUAAAAAUAAACUUACUGAAAUUGUAGAGAAUUUUUUUGUAUGACAGGAAAAAGUAAUGUUUCUCUUGUGUUUGAAUUAAAAUUGCAGAGGCUAAGGAAGUAGAUGUAUUUAUUUCUUCGAGUCAACAAUUUCCAUUUUUGAUUCUAUAACUUCGUUGUUAAUGUUUGGAUUUCCUGUCAGAAGUUGUGAUUAAUCUUUUGAAGAUAGAGCUGGGACUAGCAUUCAAGGGAUAUCAAAAGAAUGUGGUUGAAUCUUUCGAGGAAGAAGCUAUGUAAAUGGAAAAAAAUCCCAAGGGCAAGUGGAGUUCAAUAUGUGUACCCGUGGGGAAAACAUUAACAUGAAAAAGAACAUGGUGUCAAUCUCAAAGGAGAAUAACGAAGAGCACAAGACGGUUUCACUUCUUCAGUGAUUGUAUCAUCUUUCAAGAUUUAUUGUGUCAUUUAUUUCCCAUAUGAGCAUUGUUUCAGCAGAAGGCCAAGAAAAGCAGGUGACAAACAAUUGAAUGGUUGAGACGAACAGUUGAAACAAUUUUACCUAAAUAAAAGUCGAGAAUGUUUGCUUUCGUA